AGUCAUCUUUCUUCAAAGGCUGUGGACAUCCUUAGUGACUGCAGUGAAAUUAAUCAUCAGAAGAAACAACAGCUGGAAAGCAGAACUGUGCAGAGACUCUUACAGCACCAAACUUCUGCAAAGGAUUGAGGAGCACUCAGAUGAAAUUGGUUCCAGUUACAAAUACCUAAUAUGCAACACAGUGAAAAUAAAUCAUUUUCUCCUUA